rnacentral:rRNA from 1 species
GACGAACGCUGGCGGCGUGCCUAAUACAUGCAAGUAGAACGCUGAAGGAGGAGCUUGCUCUUCUGGAUGAGUUGCGAACGGGUGAGUAACGCGUAGGUAACCUGCCUGGUAGCGGGGGAUAACUAUUGGAAACGAUAGCUAAUACCGCAUAAGAGUAGAUGUUGCAUGACAUUUGCUUAAAAGGUGCAAUUGCCUCACUACCAGAUGGACCUGCGUUGUAUUAGCUAGUUGGUGGGGUAACGGCUCACCAAGGCGACGAUACAUAGCCGACCUGAGAGGGUGAGCGGCCACACUGGGACGGAGAACCGGCCCGAACUCCUACGGGGGGAAGCAGUGGGGAAUCUUCGGCAAUGGAGGGAAGCCUGACCGAGCAACGCCGGGUGAGGGAAGAGGGUUUUCGGAUGGUAAAGCUCUGUUGUAAGGGAAGAACGAGGGGGGGGGUGGAAAGUCCACACUGGGACGGUAUCUUACCAAAAAGGGACGGCUAACCACGU